rnacentral:lncRNA from 1 species
GAGAGGUUAUCAGAAAAUAAUCUGAUUAUCUUUUUGUUGCAGAAAAAAAUAGAGUUUCAGUUUUCUCUCCAAUUACCCAUACUUUUUCUGACAUUUUCUUAUUCUUUUUUCCCUCAUCUAUCAAUUCUUUCCCCUAGUUGCUGUUGAAAUUUCCAUUAUUUUUUCCCUUCCCUUUCGUUUCUUUUUUUAUUUUCCAAUUGAUUUAGU